GGGAGCUUGCUCUCCGGGUGACGAGUGGCGGACGGGUGAGUAAUGUCUGGGGAUCUGCCCGAUGGAGGGGGAUAACUACUGGAAACGGUAGCUAAUACCGCAUAACCUCGAAAGAGCAAAGUGGGGGACCUUCGGGCCUCACACCAUCGGAUGAACCCAGAUGGGAUUAGCUAGUAGGUGGGGUAACGGCUCACCUAGGCGACGAUCCCUAGCCGGUCUGAGAGGAUGACCACGCCACACUGGAACUGAGACACGGUCCAGACUCCUACGGGAGGCAGCAGUGGGGAAUAUUGCACAAUGGGCGCAAGCCUGAUGCAGCCAUGCCGCGUGUAUGAAGAAGGCCUUCGGGUUGUAAAGUACUUUCAGCGGGGAGGAAGGGAUGAAGGUUAAUAACCUUCGUCAUUGACGUUACCCGCAGAAGAAGCACCGGCUAACUCCGUGCCAGCAGCCGCGGUAAUACGGAGGGUGCAAGCGUUAAUCGGAAUUACUGGGCGUAAAGCGCACGCAGGCGGUUUGUUAAGUCAGAUGUGAAAUCCCCGGGCUCAACCUGGGAACUGCAUUUGAAACUGGCAAGCUUGAGUCUCGUAGAGGGGGGUAGAAUUCCAGGUGUAGCGGUGAAAUGCGUAGAGAUCUGGAGGAAUACCGGUGGCGAAGGCGGCCCCCUGGACGAAGACUGACGCUCAGGUGCGAA
rnacentral:rRNA from 1 species